CACACUGCAUAUUUCCACUUGCCUACACGCCCAAGGUGAGUAAUUUUGGGGGAGAGGGGGUGGGAGUGGAAUGGCAUAUAAAAUGUCUUACGUUUUUCACUACUAAUUAUAAUCCUGGUCAAACUAAGCAAGUAGAUUUGGGCAUUAUGGGAGCUGCAAUACCAGUGGUGGAGCAUCCCCACAGCUCAGCUGCUUGGUGUGAAUGCUGGAAAGAGGAUUUGGCUUGAUGUACAUUACUGGCUCUUGCAGUUAAUUUAUUUAACCCAAGUGUCUUAGGGGUGCCUGCAAAUAUUUCCCAAGCUGCAUGUGUCUUAACUAAAAGGCAACUCACCUGACAGCUUUGCAUAGUUGCACCUUAGCAUUACUGCUCUAUCCAAUCCAUAAUACAUUCUGUUUACAAUAGUUAUCAGUUUGUUUGCUUUGAUUUUAGCUAAAAGAGCUGAAGAUUUAUCUCUCUGUCAGAGUUGGUAGAAAUCUAAGAGUCUGGUCCAAACCAUAAGCUUUCUGCUUAAUCUUCUGGAAACUUCCCAGUUUUCCUUGAAUAUCUCCAAGCAGCUGAUAUUGUACCUCCACUGCAUGGAGGGGGGAUUUUUUCUUUUUCUUGAUUAGUUCAGCUGACAAGGUCAACAGGAAAUUAAAAAGGAAGAAUAUACAUUCAGAACAACUAUGCUACCUUAUAUGCAGAGUUAUUAAGUGUUAUGUGUGUCUGAGCCACACUGUAAAGAUGAGCAGGAGCAAAGACCAAGAGAGUGAGUGGGGCACAUCAGAGGUGAGAACUAAGGAGCAGGGAAGGAGAAGGAGAAGGAGAAGGAGAAGUAAAGGAGAAGAUCAGUAGCCCAUUUUAGAGUCCUGUCUCUUUCUGGUUUCUCUGUACAGGUAAGGAUUUUGGGGUUUUAAACAAGAAAUCAGUGUGAUUCAAUGGACUCCCCACUGCAGGUGAGAUAAUUCCCUGCUCAGACUGAGGUGUUUUAAGCACACAAGAUUGUCUUUCAAAGAGAGAUCAGAUUGAUUCAAUUCUGGGCAAUCUCCCUGGAUUGGAAGAGGGUCUUUAAUGAUCUUAUUUAAUAUUGAACAGUCUCUAGCCUUCCCUUUGGGUGGGAGGCAAUUCAGAGCUGGUGGCAGCUAGGUUUACUGGUGUAUUACUUCCCUUACCUCUCCUACUUUUUUUCUCACUUCCUAAGGCCUUGCCUGUUGUAUCUCUGCAUCCAGGGUGUGCUCGUCAACUUUCUCUCUCUCCACCCUUCCUA
rnacentral:lncRNA from 1 species